rnacentral:rRNA from 1 species
AUUGAACGCUGGCGGCAUGCAUUACACAUGAAAGUCGAACGGUAACGCGGGGCAACCUGGCGACGAGUGGCGAACGGGUGAGUAACGCAUCGGAACGUGCCCAGUAGUGGGGGAUAGCCCGGCGAAAGCCGGAAUAAUACCGCACACGACCUACGGGAGAAAGCGGGGGAUCGCAUGACCUCGCGCUAUUGGAGCGGCCGAUGUCAGAUUAGGUUGUUGGUGGGGUAAAGGCCUACCAAGCCUGCGAUCUGUAGCGGGUCUGAGAGGGCGACCAGCCAGACUGGGACUGAGACACGGCGCAGGCUUCUACGGGAGACAGCAUUGGGUAAUUUUGGACACUGGGCGCAAGCCUGAGCCAGAAGUGCCGCGUGCGGAAAUGAGGCCUUCGGGUUGUAAACGGCUUUUGUAAGGGAAAAAAAUCUCCGGGCUAAUACCUCGGAGUCAUGACGGUACCUUAAGAAUAAGCACCGGCUAACUACGUGCCAGCCGCCGCAGUAACAC